CCUACGGGUGGCUGCAGUUUCGAAUCAUUCACAAUGGGCGAAAGCCUGAUGGUGCGACGCCGCGUGAGGGAUGAAGGUCUUCGGAUUGUAAACCUCUGUCACUGGGGAGAAAACGCUUUGAGUUAAUAGUUCAAAGCCUGAUUUAACCCGGAGAGGAAGCAGUGGCUAACUCUGUGCCAGCAGCCGCGGUAAUACAGAGACUGCAACCGUUAUUCUAAUUCACUCGCCGGCAAUUGUGCGCGUCCGGUGUGAAAUCCCGAGGCUUAACCUCGGAACUGCGUCUGAAACUACUCGACUAGAGUACUGGAGAGGGAAACGGAAUUCACGGUGUAGCAGUGAAAUGCGUAGAUAUCGUGAGGAACACCAGAGGCGAAGGCGGUUUCCUGGACAGUUACUGACGCUCAGGCACGAAAGCAUGGGGAGCAAAAGGGAUUAGAUACCCCGGUAGUC
rnacentral:rRNA from 1 species